CGACGUUCUAAACAUAUUGUAAUGUUAACUUGUUGGAAUAGGAAAGACGAAUACCCAAUUUUUCAAGAAGAAGAAAACGAAAAGCGUAGUUUAUUUUGGAUUUUAAAGAUAGAAAACGAAAAAGCUUGGAGAAAAAGAUAAGCAUUGAAUUGAAUCAUCACAAAUUGUGGUACCGUCACCAUCGCCGGAACGCACGUGCGCUUCGUGGAAGACAAUCUUUCACAAAAGGAAAGCACGGAUGCUAUGAUGCGGCUAAUAUUGAAAUCAAAGGACGCAAAAGGCAGUGUGGACAGUAUGUUUUCUGACGAUCUAAUAUACCACUACAAUUUAGAGGGGCGCAAGGAGAAGGAAUCCUUACUAAAGCUAAAGCGCGUAGGGUUAGUUUUUGAAAUAUUUCCUGACAAGGACAAAAACACUAUCUGUGGGGAGCUCUGGAGAUUUGUGACCUUAAGCCACAAUCGUUUUUAACAAAAAAACAUAAACUUAAGGCUAAAUUAAUAUAAAUUUUCUUAUUAUUAAUUACAUAUACAUAUAUAUUAGCUUUAAGUGGUAAAUAUUAGUUUUAAGUUGAACAUUAGUUCUAAGUUGUACUGAAAUAACCUUAAUCUUAUGUUUAAGUAAAUGUUUAUUAUUAAAUAAAACGAAAUA